GAGUGAUCAAGUGUCUUAAGGGCAUUUGGUGGAUGCCUUGGCAUGCACAGGCGAUGAAGGACGUGAUACGCUGCGAUAAGCGUCGGGGAGGUGCGAAUACCCUUUGAUCCGACGAUUUCCGAAUGGGGCAACCCACCUUAGAUGACUAGAAAAUCUGUUUUGUUGGAGCAACGCUGGAUGGGUUUACACCCAUACAGACCGCUAGGUCGUCGGCCCAUGUGGGCCGCCCCCGCGGAGCGCCAGCAUUCCUCUGGAAUGCGUACGGCGCGUGAGCGAGAACAGCACAGCUUUCUAGUCAUCAUAAAUAAGGUAUCUAACCUUGAAUACAUAGGGGUUAGAAGCGAACCUGGGGAACUGAAACAUCUAAGUACCCAGAGGAAAGGACAUCAAACGAGACUCCGCUAGUAGUGGCGAGCGAACGCGGACCAGGCCAGUGGCUUUUGUGAAUAAAGUGGAACGAGUUGGAAAACUCGACCGAAGUGGGUGAUAGUCCCGUACACGUAGAAUAGCAGAAGUCCUUGAGUAGGGCGGGACACGUGAAAUCCUGUCUGAACAUGGGUCGACCACGAUCCAAGCCUAAGUACUCGUGCAUGACCGAUAGCGAACCAGUACCGUGAGGGAAAGGUGAAAAGCACCCCGACGAGGGGAGUGAAACAGUACCUGAAACCGGAUGCCUACAAACAGUUGGAGCCCAAGGUUUGUCCUGGGUGACAGCGUACCUUUUGUAUAAUGGGUCAGCGACUUAGUGUAUCGAGCAAGCUUAAGCCGGUAGGUGUAGGCGCAGCGAAAGCGAGUCUGAACAGGGCGUUCAGUUCGAUGCAUUAGACCCGAAACCAAGUGAUCUAGCCAUGAGCAGGUUGAAGGUACGGUAACACGUACUGGAGGACCGAACCCAUAUCUGUUGCAAUAGAUCGGGAUGACUUGUGGCUAGGGGUGAAAGGCCAAUCAAACUUGGAGAUAGCUGGUUCUCCGCGAAAUCUAUUUAGGUAGAGCGUCGACCGAAUACCCCCGGGGGUAGAGCACUGGAUGGGCUAUGGGGACUCACCGUCUUACUGAUCCUAACCAAACUCCGAAUACCGGGGAGUACUAGUCGGCAGACACACGGCGGGUGCUAACGUCCGUCGUGGAGAGGGCAACAACCCUGACCACCAUCUAAGGUCCCUAAGUUAUGGCUAAGUGGGAAAGGAUGUGAGGAUCCCAAAACAACCAGGAUGUUGGCUUAGAAGCAGCCAUCAUUUAAAGAAAGCGUAACAGCUCACUGGUCUAAAUAAGGGUCUUUGCGCCGAAAAUGUACCGGGGCUCAAGCCAUACACCGAAGCUGUGGAUGCACGUAUGUGCGUGGUAGCGGAGCGUUCCGUAAGCCUGUGAAGGGACAGUCGUGAGACAUCCUGGAGGUAUCGGAAGUGAGAAUGCUGACAUGAGUAACGAUAAAGGGAGUGAGAGACUCCCUCGCCGAAAGUCCAAGGGUUCCUGCUUAAAGUUAAUCUGAGCAGGGUUAGCCGGCCCCUAAGGCGAGGCCGAAAGGCGUAGUCGAUGGGAACCACGUUAAUAUUCGUGGGCCUGCAGGUGGUGACGGAUCGCGUGUGUUGUGAGGUCUUAUUGGAUUGAUCUUGCAGCGAAGCGGUUCCAGGAAAUAGCUCCUGCAUAUAGACCGUACCCUAAACCGACACUGGUGGACUGGUAGAGAAUACCAAGGCGCUUGAGAGAACUGCGUUGAAGGAACUCGGCAAAAUGCACGCGUAACUUCGGAAGAAGCGUGACCUCACUAUGGGCAACCAUAGGGGGGUGGCACAGACCAGGGGGUAGCGACUGUUUACCAAAAACACAGGGCUCUGCGAAGUCGCAAGACGACGUAUAGGGUCUGACGCCUGCCCGGUGCUGGAAGGUUAAGAGGAGAGGUGCAAGCCUUGAAUUGAAGCCCCAGUAAACGGCGGCCGUAACUAUAACGGUCCUAAGGUAGCGAAAUUCCUUGUCGGGUAAGUUCCGACCUGCACGAAUGG
rnacentral:rRNA from 1 species